GUGCCAGCCGCCGCGGUAAUACGGUUGGUCCGGGCGUUAUCCGGAUUUAUUGGGUUUAAAGGGAGCGCAGGCGGCCUUUUAAGCGUGACGUGAAAUGUGGAUGCUCAACAUCUGAACUGCGUCGCGAACUGGAGGGCUUGAGUGGGUACGACGCCGGCGGAAUUCGUGGUGUAGCGGUGAAAUGCUUAGAUAUCACGAAGAACCCCGAUUGCGAAGGCAGCCGGCGAGUCCUCAACUGACGCUAAAGCUCGAAAGUGCGGGUAUCGAACAGGAUUAGAUACCCUGGUAGUCCGCACGGUAAACGAUGGAUGCCCGCUGUUGGCGAUACAAUGUCAGCGGCCAAGCGAAAGCGUUAAGCAUCCCACCUGGGGAGUACGCCGGCAACGGUGAAACUCAAAGGAAUUGACGGGGGCCCGCACAAGCGGAGGAACAUGUGGUUUAAUUCGAUGAUACGCGAGGAACCUUACCCGGGCUUGAACUGCCGAUGAACGAUUCAGAGAUGAUGAGGCCCUUCGGGGCAUCGGUGGAGGUGCUGCAUGGUUGUCGUCAGCUCGUGCCGUGAGGUGUCGGCUUAAGUGCCAUAACGAGCGCAACCCUUUUCUUCAGUUGCCAUCAGGUGAUGCUGGGCACUCUGGAGACACUGCCACCGUAAGGUGUGAGGAAGGUGGGGAUGACGUCAAAUCAGCACGGCCCUUACGUCCGGGGCUACACACGUGUUACAAUGGGUGAUACAGAUCGUCGGCGUCUGGCAACAGUCGUCCAAUCGCCAAAGUCAUCCUCAGUUCGGAUUGGGUCUGCAACCCGACCCCAUGAAGCUGGAUUCGCUAGUAAUCGCGCAUCAGCCAUGGCGCGGUGAAUACGUUCCCGGGCCUUGUACACACCGCCCGU
rnacentral:rRNA from 1 species